rnacentral:rRNA from 1 species
GACGAACGCUGGCGGCGUGCUUAACACAUGCAAGUCGAACGGAAAGGCCCCUUUGGGGGUACUCGAGUGGCGAACGGGUGAGUAACACGUGAGUAACCUGCCCUUGACUUCGGGAUAACUUCAGGAAACUGGGGCUAAUACCGGAUAGGAAUCCUUGCUGCAUGGUGGGGGUUGGAAAGCUUCGGCGGUUUUGGAUGGACUCGCGGCUUAUCAGCUUGUUGGUGGGGUAGUGGCUUACCAAGGCUUUGACGGGUAGCCGGCCUGAGAGGGCGACCGGCCACAUUGGGACUGAGAUACGGCCCAGACGCCGACGGGAGGCAGCAGUGGGGAAUAUUGCACAAUGGGCGGAAGCCUGAUGCAGCAACGCCGCGUGCGGGAUGACGGCCUUCGGGUUGUAAACCGCUUUCAGCAGGGGCGAAGCUUGUGGUGACGGUACCUGCAGAAAAAGCACCGGCUAACUACGUG